rnacentral:rRNA from 1 species
AGCGCAGGUGGUUUCCUAAGUCUGAUGUAAAAGGCAGUGGCUCAACCAUUGUGUGCAUUGGAAACUGGGAGACUUGAGUGCAGGAGAGGAGAGUGGAAUUCCAUGUGUAGCGGUGAAAUGCGUAGAUAUAUGGAGGAACACCGGAGGCGAAAGCGGCUCUCUGGCCUGUAACUGACACUGAGGCCCGAAAGCGUGGGAGCAAACA